AGUUAAAUUUGAAUUUUAGCUAAGCAAUGAAUAAUGUUUAAGUAUGUCCCAUGUAAUACUUGGGACAUACUUAUACUAAAAAAUUAUUUAUUGUUUAUCUGAAAUGUAAAUUUAAUAGG
rnacentral:miRNA from 1 species